AAGACUAUAGACCUGCGGAGUACCUGCGGAGGGAUCAUUACAGGAGCUUUAAACACUCCCAAACCCUUUGUUAAUUUUACCUUUUUGUUGCUUCGGCAGGCAGCCCCAGGGCGGGGCUGUAGCCUUUUUUAGGUGCCUGCCGGAGGUAUUUUAAAAACUCGUCAUCUUUUUAGUGUCUGAGUAUAUAAACAAAUGAAUCAAAACUUUUAACAAUGGAUCUCUAGAUCGGAAGAGCACACG
rnacentral:misc_RNA from 1 species